GUUGUGUUAUAGUGGAGAACCCUGAAUUUAGGGAACCUGAAUCUUUUGUAAUGGGCAGUAAGCAUGUCUGCCCUUUGCUUUGGAGAGAGACACU